CCCGUCGGCACGCGGCGGACAAAGCAGACGGCUGUCCCCGUGCUGCGCCGCAGACCGGCCAGAAAGCAGCUUGCCAGAUGGAUCUGCGCUCUGUCGCCGCUGCGUCGCAUCUCUCAAAGUGAGAAGACUCGCUCUGCAAAUGUGCGUCCCCUGCUUCACAAACUUGGACCGCUGCCUCUGUUCGUGGCGGGCGAAAUCCAGGCUUCUCUCCAGCGCUGCAAACCUCUGUCACUGCUGACUAACGAUGUGGUGGACGGUGGUGUGACACCGCAAAGGGACAGCCCAGAACUUAUCACUAAACUGUUACCAAAUCAACUUUUCCUCUGCGGAUGAAGAUUUGUUUGCCCGGUCUAUGUGGAAGUGCUCUGGGAAUAACUGGAGUAACUGAGUGUAAAUUAAAAAGUAUCGUACGUCUUUAAUUUAUAGGUGUCUAUAUCAUUCCACCUGGACUAACUAAUCCCGACUGUCCAGUGUCCACAGUCAAACUGGAAGGGAUGCGAAGGCGAGCAUGGUGCUCUGCUUUCUUAUCUUCUGUUGCUAACGCACAAAGGGGAGCGAAAUUGGAUUGUAAACUAUGUGGAGUGAUUCCUGAGGACUGAGUCGCUGCUCUCCGCGGGUGUAUGGUGAAGAGCAGCCCGAGGAUGACGGGAGGAACCCGGGAGGCUCCGGUGAACGCCUCUCCGGCGGUUGCGUCAAACGCAGAGGGCGAGGAGAUCGAGGUUUUGGAAAGCACCGACGUCCUCCCAGUGGCUCCAGAGGACCAAUGGAAGUCUCUGUUUGACAAGGUAUG